UCGACCUCGAAUCAGGUAGGACUACCCGCCGAACUUAAGCAUAUCAAUAAGCGGAGGAAAAGAAACUAACGAGGAUUCCCCUAGUAACUGCGAGUGAAGCGGGAAGAGCUCAAAUUUCGAAUCUGGCGACCAAGGGUCG
rnacentral:rRNA from 1 species